rnacentral:rRNA from 1 species
GAUGAACGCUAGCUACAGGCUUAACACAUGCAAGUCGAGGGGAAACGGCAUUGAGUGCUUGCACUCUUUGGACGUCGACCGGCGCACGGGUGAGUAACGCGUAUCCAACCUUCCCAUUACUGUGGGAUAACCUGCCGAAAGGCAGACUAAUACCGCAUAGUCUUCGAUGACGGCAUCAGAUUUGAAGUAAAGAUUUAUCGGUAAUGGAUGGGGAUGCGUCUGAUUAGCUUGUUGGCGGGGUAACGGCCCACCAAGGCAACGAUCAGUAGGGGUUCUGAGAGGAAGGUCCCCCACAUUGGGACUGAGACACGGUCCAAACUCCUACGGGAGGCAGCAGUGAGGAAUAUUGGUCAAUGGACGGAAGUCUGAACCAGCCAAGUAGCGUGCAGGAUGACGGCCCUAUGGGUUGUAAACUGCUUUUGUAUGGGGAUAAAGUUAGGGACGUGUCCCUAUUUGCAGGUACCAUACGAAUAAGGACCGGCUAAUUCCGUGCCAGCAGCCGCGGUAAUACGGAAGGUCCAGGCGUUAUCCGGAUUUAUUGGGUUUAAAGGGAGCGUAGGCUGGAGAUUAAGUGUGUUGUGAAAUGUAGACGCUCAACGUCUGAAUUGCAGCGCAUACUGGUUUCCUUGAGUACGCACAACGUUGGCGGAAUUCGUCGUGUAGCGGUGAAAUGCUUAGAUAUGACGAAGAACUCCGAUUGCGAAGGCAGCUGACGGGAGCGCAACUGACGCUUAAGCUCGAAGGUGCGGGUAUCAAACAGG